rnacentral:lncRNA from 1 species
UGAUAGUGAAAGUGUAGUUGCCUUAUCCAAGGAUCCAAGGGAACACGGGAGUGUUGGAUAAGGUGUCUAAGUCCAUAACUAUUUCGGGUGUGUACUUGACCCGACCCGGCAUGGUCCAUUUGGGUUGCAUGGCACCAUGCAAUUGGAUAGACUAAUUGAGAGAAAUAACACUUGGAGAUUAUUAAUAUAUUAUAAGUUCUAAUAUAUUAAUAAUAUUAUUUGAUUAGUUUGAUCAAAGAAUUAAUUUGGAAUUAAUUAAGUGAUCAAAGGAUAACUAAUUAAAUAUAUGGGUUGAUUAUGUAAAUCAUUCAUAUCUUGUAUAGUGGGCUAAGAGGCUCCAUGGAUUAUCAAGUUGGGUUCUACCCAUAGGAUGCUCCAUGGAUGCUCCAUGGGAGUUACAAACCCAUGGGUCAUGGAAAUGAAGAGUCAUGACACAUUAGGGUUUACAUGGUGUAACCCUAGAUGUGUCAACACUAUAUAAGAGUCCCAUUCUCCACCAAAAUCGGCUACACAUAAGAAACUAGAGGGCUUGGCCGAUUUUAAGAAGUGUGUAUUAUCUCAAAAGUCUUUCCAAGAGCAUUUGGUGUUGUGUGAAGCAUUUGAGGCAUCACACUUGGGGUGCUAGGCUCACAAGGUUUCAAGGAACAUAAGCAACAACAAGGUAAGUUAUUCUAUCUUUCAUUCAAGUUAAAAUUGUUCCCCAUGUAUGCUAGAUAGGAAUAUAACCUUGGAAAUUCAACUUUGCAUGAUAAUUAGACAAACAUAGAUCCAAGGUUAUUAGGGUUGCAUGUACACUUAGGAAGUGUUAGAAUGCUCAAAACCCAUCAGUGGUAUCAGAGCCUAGGCUUGUUUGUUUGUUAUUUGUGCUUAAAAGUUGAAGAAAGUCGAAAAUCUUGCUGUCUGACUGAUGGACUCGGCGAGUCCAUGGGGAGGACUCGACGAGUUCAUGUGUAUCUUCAACCUACUCGGCGAGUAGGUUUAUGCACUCGGCGAGUAGGGUCGACAGAGUGCAGAAUUUCGACUUGUGUUGCUGGAAAUGGAUUAGAAUCAUUACCCUAAAAUGUUUUGGUACUUGAAAACUUAUUUUAGAAGGUGUAAUGUCUUUUCUAACUCAUUUACAACAACUAGUUAUCAAAAUUACAAAGAUUAAAUGUGAUUUUGAUUCUUGAAAGUGUUCAUAUUCAUAUUCUUGUUCUUAUGAUGUUUAGAUGAUCAUAGGAAUUAUUUGUAACCUAUGUGGUAGAUUAAUUCAUGAUCAUAAUGUGUUUUAAUGGAGUCCAUAACUUGUCCUCAAGUUAUGGAAAACCAAAAGUCUCUUGGAUUAAAAACCAUUAAAAGAACACAAGAGUUAGGAAAAAUGAAAAGUCCUCAUUUUAUUACUCUAUUAAACUCAUAAGUUACAAGAAAUGAAAAGUUUUGAAAGUUUACAAAACUUGCCCUCAAGUUUUGGAACAAGUAAAGUUAAGUUAAAACUUUAGUUCCAACCCCUAGAAUUUUAAAAGUUAAAAUUCAACCCUUAUACUUAUAUUAUUAUGAUUUAAUAAUUAUAUAUAUAUGUAUAAGAACAAAGUCGUCUUACCGCUAGUACGCCUCAUUCACGAAGCCGGUCUAUAAGGUGGGUAUAAGGUUGUUGCCUAUAAAAUGGUGACUUAAUGGGUGUCCACUCUCACCCACCGCUUGCUUGAUCGGUGGAGGGUCGUUAGCCGAACGGGUAAGACAAGGACUUAUUAAUUCUCAUUCAAAGUAUGAUGAAUAUUAUAAAGUAACUAAAUGUUUUAUUAAAUUCCCAAUCUUAGUUACUUUAGGAAAAAUGUGAAUAAGGUGCUAUUCCAUGAAAUUACACUUUACACUUUGAUUAAGUCGUUGGUGGAGCGUGUGUGGUUAACCGGCACACUAACUUGGACUUAACAAGGUAGGUAAAGGGUGACUUAGGGUUUAUUAUAGUAUCGAUGGAGCGUGUGUGGUUAACCGGCACAUCGAUUGAGUGAUAAACUUUAAGGGUACCAAGUGAUUUGCAUGGUUACUUCACACCUCGUUUUGUGAUCCUCGGUAUCCCAGUCACAAAACUUGGAGGGCACACUCGAGAUUGAAACAUGCCUUUGAAAAGUUCAUUGAAUCUCAAAGAAUCUAGGAAUUUCUAAGAACCAUUCAAAAACCUAAUACUAAAAUAUUGCGGUUUUCGUGGUGGAAAUUGGUGAAUCGUCAUUCACCUACCUUUCAAAUAUGAUAUAGCUUAGAUUACGGCAUACCUCUUCUAAGUUAUAUUAUAUUGUGAUUGGAUCCUAGCCUUAAUAUUACAUUUGGGUGUUUUAUUAAGGACUCUCUUAUAUCUAAACUAAUCUUGUCCUCUUUCCUUCAGAUGUCUUUCAACAAUGCUUCUGGCUCUAAUCCUAAUGGCUCCUUUACCCUUAUGAACUUGUGUGGGAAAGUCACCUUUGAUGGAUCCAACUUCAAUGAGUGGAUCAGAAACAUCAGGAUGAUUACCCGCUACGAGGACAAAGAAUAUGUCCUUGACAAGGAGCUUAAGGAGAUUGAUGAGUCCACUGCAACUCCUCAGGAGAUCGCUGAAUUUCGGGCACAUGAAAGGGAUGCUACGAAAGUGGCUUGCAUCAUGAUGGCCACGAUGACAGCGGAACUCCAAAAGUCUUAUGAGGAUUUCUACCCUUAUGAAAUGCACCAAGAUUUGAUGGAAAGAUACCAUCAAAGUGCAAGACAAGAGAGGUAUGAAAUCAUCUGCUCCAUGAUAACAACCAUGAUGAAGGACGGGGAAUCCGUCACGAGCCACAUGCAGAAAAUGCAAAGGUAUGUGGAUCGUUUGCUGAAGCUUAAUGUGAACUUCCCGGAGGAUCUUGCAAUAGAUAUUAUUUUGCAUUCCUUACCAUCGUGCUAUGAUCAAUUCCGCAUGACAUAUCACAUGAACAAGGAAGAAGUCACCCUCAGCAAACUUCAGGGACUUCUCAAGACCGCAGAAUCAGGUCUUAAGGGGAAGUCGGUUGCUAUCACUCCUACUCAAAACUCUACUCCGGUUUUGGCAAUCGGGAAAAGUCGAGGGAGGAAGAGAAAGAGCUCUUCUAAGGGUACCAAGGUUCGGACCCUUGAUGGCUCUUCUUCAAGUGGAACCAAGAAAGGUUUCAUUACUCCUUCUUCUGACCCAAAAGAGGCUGAAUGCUUCUAUUGCCAUGAAAAAGCUCAUUGGAAGCGGAACUGCCCAAAAUACCAGCAAGAUGUGAAGGAUGGGAAAGUUAAACCCAACCAUGCAGGUAUUUACACUAUCAUUUCUAAUAACUCACCCCAUUCUAAUUCUUGGGUCCUUGAUACCGGGUGUGGUAUUCACAUUUGUUGUGACUUGCAGGGACUAAGAAGAAGUGAGGAUGUGGAGCAAGGAAGGAUAAACUUGAUCAUGGGGAAUAGGAAAGCUAUACCUGUUACCAAGAUUGGAGUUUAUACUUUAUCGCUAAGUAGUGGGUUUAGUUUAGAUUUGAAUAAGUGUUGUUAUUCGCCAGGAAUGGCAAGAAAUAUUAUUUCCUUUCAUGCUUUGUACAAACAAGGGUUUACCUUUUCAUUUAAUAAUGAAGUUGGUUCUAUAGAUGUUUUCUAUAAUAAUGUCUUUUAUUUUAAAGCAUUACCUUGUGAUGGUGUGUAUGAAGCUGUAUCUGUUGUAGAUAACUUGGGAAAUAAUGUUUUGUGUAUUGAUUCUACUAAUAAUAACUUGGAUAAAGCAUCUUUAUGGCAUUGUCGUCUUGGACAUAUAAGCAAGAAACGCAUAGGCCAACUCCAAAAGGAUGGAGUCUUGGAGUCGUUUGACCUAAAGUCAGAUGAUAGUUGCGAAUCAUGCUUACUUGGAAAAAUGACAAAGUCACCCUUCACAGGUUCGUGUGAGAGGGGUGAAGGUUUGUUGGACCUUAUACACACGGAUGUGUGUGGACCAUUCAAACAUGCCACAAGGGAUGCUAAUCGUUAUUAUUUGACUUUUACUGAUGAUUAUAGUAGAUAUGGAUAUGUCUACUUGAUCAAGCAUAAGUCAGAGACUUUCGAGAGGUUUAAGGAAUUUAAACAGGAAGUCGAGAAUCAAUUGGGCAGGAACAUUAAGAUGCUUCGAUCCGAUCGUGGUGGUGAGUAUCUUAGUUCAGAGUUCCUCGACUAUCUAAGGGAAUGUGGGAUAGUCUCACAAUUGACACCUCCCAGGACACCACAGUUGAAUGGUGUGGCUGAGAGGCGUAAUCGAACCUUGUUAGAUAUGGUUCGUUCCAUGAUGAGUCGAGCUACGCUACCAAUCUCAUUCUGGGGGUAUGCCUUAGAGACUGCCGCCCAUAUUCUUAAUCUAGUCCCUACAAAGAAAGUUGCCAAAACUCCUCACGAGAUGUGGACUGGUAAAGUACCUAAACUAGACCACAUCAAGAUUUGGGGUUGCGAGGCUUUCGUGAGACGCGAGACUCAUGAUAAGCUCGAACCUCGAAGCGAGAGGUGUAUUUUCAUCGGUUACCCACAGCGAUCCUUUGGUUACCUCUUCUACAGACCUAGUGACAAUGUGGUCUUUGUAGCAAGAAGAGGAGUCUUUCGAGAAAGAGAGUUUAUAAGCCAAGGAGACAGUGGGAGGCAAAUUGAUCUUGAAGAAAUUCAAGAAUCAAGCGGUGAAGGAACUUCAAACUCUAGCCCUCAACUUGAGGAGGAAACUCCUGUUGAGCCAAUUGACAAAUCUGUACCUCUGAGACGUUCCACGAGAGUUAGGAGUGCACCUGAGCAUUACUAUGGAUUCCAUAUUACUGCAGAAGGUGAGACACUUAUUAGUGAUGAGACACUAGUAAGUCAAGAUGACCCUAACAGCUACGAGGAAGCCAUGGCAGGCCCCGAGUCUGCUAAAUGGAAAGAGGCUAUGGAUAGCGAGAUACAAUCCAUGUAUGACAAUCAAGUUUGGAACUUGGUUGAAAAUGUACCAGGUCGUAAGACAGUAGGGUGCAAAUGGGUCUUCAAGAAGAAGACCGACAUGGAUGGUAAAGUACACACUUAUAAGGCUAGACUGGUUGCAAAGGGCUUCUCUCAAAUUCCUGGAGUGGAUUAUGAUGAGACCUUUUCUCCGGUAGCCAAGAUUAAGUCUAUUCGGGUUCUGUUAGCCAUAGCUGCAUUUCAUGACUAUGAAAUAUGGCAGAUGGAUGUCAAAACCGCUUUCCUUAAUGGAAAGUUGGCUGAAGAUGUUUACAUGAGUCAGCCAGAGGGUUUUGUCAGCAACGAGUACCCUAAUAGAGUGUGUAAGCUUGAGAAAUCCAUUUAUGGAUUGAAGCAAGCACCUCGCAGAUGGAAUCUUUGCUUUGAUGAAAAGGUCAAGGAAUUUGGCUUUUCUAGGAGUGAAGAUGAAUCUUGUGUGUAUGUCAAGGCUAGUGGGAGUAUAGUUAGCUUUUUGGUAUUGUAUGUGGAUGACAUACUACUCAUAGGAAACGACAUUCCAACCCUGCAGGAAGUAAAGUCCUGGCUUGGGAAGUGUUUCGCUAUGAAGGACCUUGGUGAAGCUGCCUAUAUUCUAGGGAUAAGAAUCUUGAGAGAUCGGAGUAAAAGACUAAUUGGACUUAGUCAGAGUACCUACUUGGAUAAGGUGCUGAAGAGAUUCAGCAUGCAGGAUUCCAAGAAAGGAGAGUUACCCAUCCAGAGUAACACCAGAUUGAGUAAGACACAAAGCCCUAGCACUGAGGCUGAGAUAGCAGAAAUGAGUCGAACACCUUACGCUUCGGCUGUAGGAUCGAUCAUGUAUGCUAUGACGUGUACUCGACCCGAUGUAGCUUUUGCCUUGAGCAUGGUUAGCAGGUAUCAGGCGAACCCUGGCAAGGCACACUGGACUGCGGUAAAGAAUAUCCUCAAGUACCUACGGAGGACUAAGGACUGGGUCCUUACCCUCGGUGGGAGUGAUGACUUGAGAGUUGUAGGGUAUAGUGAUGCUAGCUUCCAGACUGAUAGGGAUAAUUUCCGCUCUCAGUCGGGCUGGGUCUUUACCCUAAACGGAGGAGCAAUUUCUUGGAAGAGUUCCAAGCAAGAGACAGUGGCAGAUUCUACUUGUGAAUCAGAGUAUAUUGCAGCUAGCGAAGCAGCAAAGGAGGCGAUAUGGCUGAAGAACUUCAUUGGAGACCUUGGAGUUGUACCAGCUAUUAAAGAGCCAAUGGAAAUUUUCUGUGAUAGUGAAAGUGCUGUUGCCUUAGCCAAGGAACCAAGGGAUCAUGGGAGAUCCAGACACAUCGACAGAAAAUACCAUUUCAUUAGACAUCGGAUCGAAGAAGGACUCCUCGUGGCAAAGAGGGUAUCAUCGGAUGAGAACCCAGCAGAUCCCCUCACGAAGGGACUGAGUAGGGUUAAGCAUCUCCAGCAUGCUCGGAGCAUAGGGCUGAAGGAUGAUAUAAGUUUUAGUAGUUAGAUAACCCAGAAAUUUGUAAAGUGUAAUUGACAUUUGAUGAUGAAUAAAAGGUGUUUUAUUUAUGAGUAAAGUGUUGCUAUCUCUUGUCAAUCGUUUACUAUAUUUCUUUUGCAUGUUUUGACUUCCAGAAUAAUUUUGUUUGGUGUAACAUAUUAUUCAAACCUCCACAGUCGGUCAUAUGUCGGAAGUAGGUAUGAAUCAAGACUGUCAUGAUGGGUUGUAGAGGUCUAAGGUGUUGGACAAGGCUACAACAAUCAUGAGUGCUCAUAAGUUCUGAGCAUUGGACUCAACCCACGCUCACUGGAAUCACUUCAUGGAAUUCUAUCUCGAGUGAUCGUGAGACGGUAAUAUCAUAUAAGUCUUCAAACCUAGAGAUAUGAUUUGUUACUUACAAGUUGGUUAUGCAUUGACUGUACGAAACCGCAUUGGUAACUCGAUGUUAUAAAACGUACUUUUGUGUGUAAUUCAAUGAGUGGUAGAACAAACAUAUGAGUCGAAGUUUAUCUGUUCCUUCUUGGAUUAGAAGCUGAUAUCUGGGCCCCUCGAUGAUUUUGUUUUGACCCAUGUACCGGGCCCGGUCAGAACUAAGUUGAUGUGUUCAAUUAAGUUCUAUGUCAAACAAAUCGGAAAUCGGGAAACAAAUGCUGGACAAUAAGCAAGACAAUGUUCCAUGUAUUUGUCCGGCUGAUAUCUAGAACGGAGGAUUAUAUGAUCACUUAUCUUAAAUGGCGUACCAUCAUCUUCUCAGUUCCGAGAGACCUUGAAAGAGCAACGAUUGCCGGUCGGUUCCUGAAGUACUGGAGUUAUAGUUAUUAGAGACUUAUCCAAGUGGGAGACUGUUGGAUAAGGUGUCUAAGUCCAUAACUAUUUCGGGCUUGUACUUGACCCGACCCGGCAUGGUCCAUUUGGGUUGCAUGGCACCAUGCAAUUGGAUAGACUAAAUGAGAGAAAUAACACUUGGAGAUUAUUAAUAUAUUAUAAGUUCUAAUAUAUUAAUAAUAUUAUUUGAUUAGUUGAUCAAAGAAUUAAUUUGGAAUUAAUUAAGUGAUCAAAGGAUAACUAAUUAAAUAUAUGGGUUGAUUAUGUAAAUCAUCCAUAUCUUGUAUAGUGGGCUAAGAGGCUCCAUGGAUUAUCAAGUUGGGUUCUACCCAUAGGAUGCUCCAUGGAUGCUCCAUGGGAGUUACAAACCCAUGGGUCAUGGAAAUGAAGAGUCAUGACACAUUAGGGUUUACAUGGUGUAACCCUAGAUGUGUCAACACUAUAUAAGAGUCCCAUUCUCCACAAAAUCGGUGACACAUAAGAAACUAGAGGUCUUGGCCGAUUUUAAGAAGUGUGUAUUAUCUCAAAAGUCUUUCCAAGAGCAUUUGGUGUUGUGUGAAGCAUUUGAGGCAUCACACUUGGGGUGCUAGGCUCACAAGGUUUCAAGGAACAUAAGCAACAACAAGGUAAGUUAUUCUAUCUUUCAUUCAAGUUAAAAUUGUUCCCCAUGUAUGCUAGAUAGGAAUAUAACCUUGGAAAUUCAACUUUGCAUGGUAAUUAGACAAACAUAGAUCCAAGGUUAUUAGGGUUGCA